CGGGUGAGUAACACGUGGGUAACCUACCCAUCAGAGGGGGAUAACACUUGGAAACAGGUGCUAAUACCGUAUAACAAUCGAAACCGCAUGGUUUCGGUUUGAAAGGCGCUUUUGCGUCACUGAUGGAUGGACCCGCGGUGCAUUAGCUAGUUGGUGAGGUAACGGCUCACCAAGGCAACGAUGCAUAGCCGACCUGAGAGGGUGAUCGGCCACAUUGGGACUGAGACACGGCCCAA
rnacentral:rRNA from 1 species